rnacentral:rRNA from 1 species
UACAGAGGGGGCUAGCGUUAUUCGGAAUUAUUGGGCGUAAAGGGCGCGUAGGCGGCCAUGCGUGUCUUCCGUGAAAUCCCUCGGCUUAACUGAGGACGUGCGGAAGAAACUGCAAGGCUCGAGUCCGGGAGAGGGGGGUGGAAUUCCCAGUGUAGCGGUGAAAUGCGUAGAUAUCGGGAGGAACACCAGUGGCGAAGGCGACUACCUGGCCCAUUCUUGACGCUGAGGCGCGAAAGCUAGGGGAGCGAACGGG